GAUGAACGCUGGCGGCGUGCCUAAUACAUGCAAGUCGAGCGAACAGACGAGGAGCUUGCUCCUCUGACGUUAGCGGCGGACGGGUGAGUAACACGUGGAUAACCUACCUAUAAGACUGGGAUAAAUUCGGGAAACCGGAGCUAAUACCGGAUAAUAUAUUGAACCGCAUGGUUCAAUAGUGAAAGACGGUUUUGCUGUCACUUAUAGAUGGAUCUGCGCCGCAUUAGCUAGUUGGUAAGGUAACGGCUUACCAAGGCGACGAUGCGUAGCCGACCUGAGAGGGUGAUCGGCCACGCUGGAACUGAGACACGGUCCAGACUCCUACGGGAGGCAGCAGUAGGGAAUCUUCCGCAAUGGGCGAAAGCCUGACGGAGCAACGCCGCGUGAGUGAUGAAGGUCUUCGGAUCGUAAAACUCUGUUAUUAGGGAAGAACAAAUGUGUAAGUAACUAUGCACGUCUUGACGGUACCUAAUCAGAAAGCCACGGCUAACUACGUG
rnacentral:rRNA from 1 species